ACACAUGCAAGUCGAGCGGUAACAGAAAAGAAGCUUGCUUCUUUUGCUGACGAGCGGCGGACGGGUGAGUAAUGCCUGGGAAUAUACCCUGAUGUGGGGGAUAACUAUUGGAAACGAUAGCUAAUACCGCAUAAUCUCUUCGGAGCAAAGAGGGGGACCUUCGGGCCUCUCGCGUCAGGAUUAGCCCAGGUGGGAUUAGCUAGUUGGUGGGGUAAUGGCUCACCAAGGCGACGAUCCCUAGCUGGUCUGAGAGGAUGAUCAGCCACACUGGAACUGAGACACGGUCCAGACUCCUACGGGAGGCAGCAGUGGGGAAUAUUGCACAAUGGGGGAAACCCUGAUGCAGCCAUGCCGCGUGUAUGAAGAAGGCCUUCGGGUUGUAAAGUACUUUCAGUUGUGAGGAAGGCGUUGGAGUUAAUAGCUUCAGCGCUUGACGUUAGCAACAGAAGAAGCACCGGCUAACUCCGUGCCAGCAGCCGCGGUAAUACGGAGGGUGCGAGCGUUAAUCGGAAUUACUGGGCGUAAAGCGCAUGCAGGCGGUCUGUUAAGCAAGAUGUGAAAGCCCGGGGCUCAACCUCGGAACAGCAUUUUGAACUGGCAGACUAGAGUCUUGUAGAGGGGGGCAGAAUUUCAGUGUAGCGGUGAAAUGCGUAGAGAUCUGAAAGAAUACCGGUGGCGAAGGCGGCCCCCUGGACAAAGACUGACGCUCAGAUGCGAAAGCGUGGGGAGCAAACAGGAUUAGAUACCCUGGUAGUCCACGCCGUAAACGAUGUCUACUUGAAAGGUUGUGGCCUUGAGCCGUGGCUUUCGGAGCUAACGCGUUAAGUAGACCGCC
rnacentral:rRNA from 1 species